rnacentral:rRNA from 1 species
GACGAACGCUGGCGGCGUGCCUAAUACAUGCAAGUAGAACGCUGAAGGAGGAGCUUGCUUCUCCGGAUGAGUUGCGAACGGGUGAGUAACGCGUAGGUAACCUGCCUGGUAGCGGGGGAUAACUAUUGGAAACGAUAGCUAAUACCGCAUAACAGUAGAUAUUGCAUGAUAUCUGCUUGAAAGGUGCAAUUGCAUCACUACCAGAUGGACCUGCGUUGUAUUAGCUAGUUGGUGAGGUAACGGCUCACCAAGGCGACGAUACAUAGCCGACCUGAGAGGGUGAUCGGCCAAGCUGGGACUGGAACACGGCCCAGAAUCCUGCGGGAGGGAGCAGUAGGAAAUCUUCGGCAAUGGACGGAAGUCUGAACGAGCAACGCCGCGUGAGUGAAGAAGGUUUUCGGGUCGUGAAGCUCUGUUGUGAGAGAAGAACGAGUGUGAGUGUGGAAAGUUCACACUGUGACGGUAUCUUACCAGAAAGGGACGGCUAACUACGUG